AAGUCGUAACAAGGUUUCCGUAGGUGAACCUGCGGAAGGAUCAUUAUCACGUAUCCACGUAUCAACCAUUGUGAACUGUACACCUUCAGAGAGAUUUGUAAGAUAAGUGAAGAAGAAGGAAUUUUUUUUUUUUUUUCUUCAUGAUUUCUCUCUGAAGCGUAAUAUCUUACACACAACCAAUUGAACCCGAAGAAUAGGAUAGAAAAAAAAUUUUUUUUUUCCUUCUUAUUUUUCAAUUCUUUGAAAUUUAGUACUGAUAUAUAUUUCUGGCUUUGAAAAGAGCAGAAAUUUUUUCUUUACGAAAAAAAAUUUUAUACAACUCUUAGCAACGGAUAUCUUGGUUCUC
rnacentral:misc_RNA from 1 species